rnacentral:snoRNA from 14 species
UGAACAGUGCUGAGAAUGGGUUAUGAUCCAAGCGUGAUGGUGAAUCCACGUCUAUUUAUCUGAAGUCCAAG